CCUACGCGAGGCAGCAGUGGGGGAUAUUGCACAAUGGGGGAAACCCUGAUGCAGCGACGCCGCGUGGGUGAAGAAGCGCCUCGGCGCGUACAGCCCUGUCAGCAGGGAAGAAAAUGACGGUACCUGAAGAAGACGCCCCGGCUAACUACGUGCCAGCAGCCGCGGUAAUACGUAGGGGGCAAGCGUUAUCCGGAUUUACUGGGUGUAAAGGGGGCGCAGACGGCGAUGCAAGCCAGGCGUGGAAGCCCGGGGCCCAACCCCGGGACUGCUCUUGGAACUGCGUGGCGAGAGGGCAGGAGGGGCAGGCGGAAUUCCUGGGGUAGCGGUGAAAUGCGUAGAGAUCAGGAGGAACACCGGUGGCGAAGGCGGCCUGCUGGACUGCAACUGACGUUGAGGCCCGAAAGCGUGGGGAGCAAACAGGAUGAGAUACCCUUGUAGUC
rnacentral:rRNA from 1 species